ACUACCGGAAAAUAAAUCUAGCCCCAAAUUUUUCCUAGUAUAACUUUUUAACGUUCCUUUACAAAAGGGAAUUGAUAACAGGGGUUCAGUUUGAAGAUAUCGAAAAUCAAGAUUGAACUCCAUGGCACAAGAGAACGAACACGGCGAGCGCGGAAGAAGAACACAUAAGAAAAAAUCAACGUCAGACUCUCUACUUACAAGGACACCGAAAAUAUAAAUACGAAAAACGACGUUUGAUGUAUCCAUUUCCGUUCAUUGUCAUCUUCUCGAUCUCUUAUCUCGCUCUUCUUUCUCUUCAAUACAACUGAAAGUAAACCACAACCGACGCCGGAAAUACUUUCCCAGUAAUCAACGGGAAAUCGCGCGAUUAAAAUCGAUUGCAAACGAGUUGACUCGGUAAAGGCUUAACUCGCUACCACCAUGGCCAAACGAUCUCAAGCUUUUUCCGCUCCUUCUUUCUCUAAGAUCGCCUUCUUUGUAUUUUCUCUCUCCUCCUCUUCUUCUGUGUAUUUGUUUUUACGUUCUCUUUUUUUAAUUUUCUUUUUUCUUUUUCUUAAUUUCUACUUUUCUCAAUCUCAUUGCCUGAAAUUAAGAAAAAAGACAAAUUAAAUUAUUAUUAUAUUAGUUUUGAGAGGAAGAAAAAAAUUAGAAUAUCUUUACGUACAAAUUGGAUUGUAUGGAGUAUAUAGAUAUCUUGAACAA